rnacentral:tRNA from 1 species
UCUCUGGGGCGGAAUCGGCUUGCGCGUUUGGUUGCUAAGCAAAAGAUUUGGUGGUUCAAACCUACACAGGGACGCC